GAUGAACGCUGGCGGCGUGCCUAAUACAUGCAAGUCGAACGCUGGAAGUCUAGCUUGCUCGAUUGAAGGAGUGGCGAACGGGUGAGUAAUACAUAAGCAACCUACCCACGAAGACUGGGAUAAUCUCUGGAAACGGGGACUAAGACCGGAUAGGUAAGCGGAAGGCGUCUUCUGAUUAUUAAAGGCGAAAAACACUGGUGGAUGGGCUUAUGGCGCAUUUGUUAGUGGGUGAGGUCACGGCCCACCGAGACGAUGAUGCGUAGCCGGCCGGAGGGGGUGAACGGCUACAUUGGGACUGCGACACAGCCCAGACUGCUACGGGAGGCAGCAGUAGGUUAGUUUCGGCGAUGGGGGAUACCCUAACCGAGCCACGUCGGGUGAGUGAUGACGGCCUUCGGGUUGUACAUCUCUGUUGGAAGAGGAGAACGGUAGAUAGAGAAUGCCUAAAUGACGGUACCUUAACAGAAAGCCACGGCUAACUACGUG
rnacentral:rRNA from 1 species